rnacentral:rRNA from 1 species
AUUGAACGCUGGCGGCAGGCCUAACACAUGCAAGUCGAGCGAGCGGCGGACGGGUGAGUAAUAUCUGGGAAACUCCCUGAUGGAGGGGGAUAACUAUUGGAAACGGUAGCUAAUAUCGCAUAUCCUCAGGUGUGCCCCGAUGGGAUUAGCGAGUAGGUGGGGUAACGGCUCACCUAGGCGACGAUCCCUAGCUGGUCUGAGAGGAUGACCAUCCACACUGGAACUGAGACACGGUCCAGACUCCUACGGGAGGCAGCAGUGGGGAAUAUUGCACAAUGGGCGCAAGCCUGAUGCAGCCAUGCCGCGUGUGUGAUGAAGGCCUUCGGGUUGUAAAGCACUUUGGGCAGGAAAGCGGUACCUGCAGAAUAAGCACCGGCUAACUACGUGCCAGCAGCCGCGGUAAUUC